rnacentral:rRNA from 1 species
UGUAGGCGGUUCUUUAAGUUUGGUGUGAAAUCUCCCGGCUCAACUGGGAGGGAGCGCCGAAUACUGAGGGACUAGAGUACGGGAGAGGAAAGUGGAAUUCCUGGUGUAGCGGUGAAAUGCGUAGAUAUCAGGAGGAACACCGGUGGUGUAGACGGCUUUCUGGACCGUAACUGACGCUGAGACACGAAAGCGUGGGUAGCAAACAGGAUUAGAUACCCUGGUAGUCCACGCCCUAAACGAUGCAUAUUUGGUGUGGGCAGUUCAUUCUGUCCGUGCCGGAGCUAACGCGUUAAAUAUGCCGCCUGGGGAGUACAGUCGCAAGGCUGAA